rnacentral:rRNA from 1 species
GACGAACGCUGGCGGCGUGCUUAACACAUGCAAGUCGAACGGAAAGGCCCUGCUUUUGUGGGGUGCUCGAGUGGCGAACGGGUGAGUAACACGUGAGUAACCUGCCCUUGACUUUGGGAUAACUUCAGGAAACUGGGGCUAAUACCGGAUAGGAGCUCCUGCUGCAUGGUGGGGGUUGGAAAGUUUCGGCGGUUGGGGAUGGACUCGCGGCUUAUCAGCUUGUUGGUGGGGUAGUGGCUUACCAAGGCUUUGAAGGGUAGCCGGCCUGAGAGGGUGACCGGCCACAUUGGGACUGGGAUACGGCCCAGACUCCUACGGGAGGCAGCAGUGGGGAAUAGUGCACAAUGGGCGGAAGCCUGAUGCAGCAACGCCGCGUGCGGGAUGACGGCCUUCGGGUUGUAAACCGCUUUCGCCUGUGACGAAGCGUGAGUGACGGUAAUGGGUAAAGAAGCACCGGCUAACUACGUG